GGGCAAACUAGGCGGCGGGAAUCAAAAUAUGGAGGCAUCAAAAUAUUGAUUCUAGUGGGCGGAGCUUUGACCAUAUAUGGGCAUAGAAUCAAUAUUUUGAUUCAAUUUGGGACAUUCCCACCUUCAGACGACCCGUUACGGCGGAAAUAACCCCCAUGACGGCGAGAUUUUUUGACAAGUCAAUACAAAAAACUUCCCCGCUUCAAUUUUUCGCUGCAUGGCUAUCAGCCGUUUGUCGCGCGUACCUUUACGAAUGGCAUAAAGAUUUCGCCGCCAUAAUUCAACAAAAACGUGCUGUUAAAACUUGCUCUGUUUAUCAUUAACGACGAGCCUAUGUAAUUUUUUCAUAAUUUUGUCUAAAAGAAAAUAAAAAAAUGCGUUAUUUAGUUGUAUAAUUCAUUUAUAAGAAAUAUUCUUUUUCUUUGUAUCUAGCCACGAUUUCCGGUUCCCGCCAUUUCGCGCCGGCGUCGUGGGUGUUUAGAUGCAACGUAGUGCUCCCGGUUGUAUUUUGUUUAAGCGACCUUUUCUGAAGUGUCAACCAAGGAUCAAACACUGGUCGUUGCGGGGAUCGGCUUCAGAGGGUCAAGGAUGGCGUCUUGAAUCGCUGUUCAGUCGACAGGCAACUGUAUGACAACGCCAUCCCUGUCAACCAGAGCGUCGACCGAAGUAGGGCGGCGUUCGCGGACCUGGCCGCACCCGACCAACCGGUGGAGUACCUGACUCGGGCUGGGCGGAGACUACCUACAUCACGACCUUUUGAACUUUAAUCUCGUGGCGAGAAACAAUAUGACGUAAGGAAGUGUGUAUGUGGCUGGCGGGGCCGAGGGUGAGAUGCGCCACGUGUUUAUCCUGCCGGAUGACGACAGCGUCACCAACCUGUCAAAGAACGAGCUGGUGCAGCGCGUGAUGACUGCUAUCUCGUCCCUAGGACCCGAGUAGAAAAACGUGCGCAUAGCCCAAAUGAAGCGAACCAAAACACAGACAGGACUGAUAGCUUUUCGGUCGAGAAUGUUCUGAAGAUGCUGAUCAGUAGACCAAUUGGUGACCGUUUUCAGUGGUAAUAUGGGAUCUUGUGGUGUUCCAAAGCGACCUGCUUUGGGUGUGGACAUAAGUGGCUCAACCUGACAGGAUUGAUGUUUUAGGUAGCCGUGCUAAUCAUAAACCCUAUAUUGAGUGUAUCUGUACCGUUUUGAUGUAUUUGAUUCGAAACCGAAAAUUGCUCUUUGUAAUUAGGCAACAUCGAGACGUUGAGGUCAUUCUCCAGACGUUUAUUUGUUUUUUCUUACCUGUCCACGGUA
rnacentral:lncRNA from 1 species